rnacentral:rRNA from 1 species
UACAGAGGAGCCACGCGUUGUCCGGAUUCACUGGGCGUAAAGCGCGCGCAGGCGGUCUUCUACGUCUGGGGUGAAAACCCGGGGCUCAACCCCGGGACUGCCUUGGAUACGGGAAGACUUGAGGAUCGGAGAGGCAAGGGGAAUUCCACGUGUAGCGGUGAAAUGCGUAGAGAUGUGGAGGAACACCUGUGGCGAAGGCGCCUUGCUGGCCGAUUUCUGACGCUGAGGCGCGAAAGCGUGGGGAGCAAACAGG